ACGACCUUACUUGAACAGGAUCUGUUCUAUAGGCUCGUACCUCUGUAUCCUUGAGUUCUAAGGAGACAGGAACCUCAGUCUGGCUGAUGAAUAUAGACCGUGUGAUCAGAGCGUGAUUAAAUGUCGAGUGGUGAUUCGUUGAGGAUCUUCAUCUUCGACGUUGGAGGAUCGUUCUCAGUUAGAAUUAUCUGACUGGGGUGGUCACACGGUUGUCUGACAGACA